GAAGGGGACUAAAGGAAACUGGCAUUUGCCCGCUUCUCUCAAAUAGGGCCGAUGUGGUGAAGUUGCUUUUCCCUUGUGAGAGAGAAGCUGAGAUCACACCCCAGAUGAUUCUUGGCCACAUAAAAUGGCCAACAACGAAUCCAGAUUCUGAUGACGAUGAAGAUGACAUCUCGGCUGAGGCAGUCACUCGAGUCACCGCUUUUUUCAGGACCUUUGUAGAACGUGCAUCUUCAGAGCAAUUGAAAAACCUGCUACGGUUCUGGGUGGGUUGGGAGGUCCCUCCAGAGGAGCUGAU